rnacentral:rRNA from 1 species
AUUGAACGCUGGCGGCAGGCCUAACACAUGCAAGUCGAGCGGAUGAAGGGAGCUUGCUCCUGGCUUCAGCGGCGGACGGGUGAGUAAUGCCUAGGAAUCUUCCUGGUAGUGGGGGAUAACGUCCGGAAACGGGCGCUAAUACCGCAUACGUCCUGAGGGAGAAAGUGGGGGAUCUUCGGACCUCACGCUAUCAGAUGAGCCUAGGUCGGAUUAGCUAGUUGGUGGGGUAAAGGCCUACCAAGGCGACGAUCCGUAACUGGUCUGAGAGGAUGAUCAGUCACACUGGAACGGAGACACGGUCCAGACUCCUACGGGAGGCAGCAGUGGGGAAUAUUGGACAAUGGGCGAAAGCAUGAUACAGCCAUGCCGCGUGUGUGAAGAAGGUCUUCGGAUUGUAAAGCACUUUAAGUUGGGAGGAAGGGCAGUAAGUUAAUACCUUGCUGUUUUGACGUUACCAACAGAAUAAGCACCGGCUAACUUCGUG